GACGAACGCUGGCGGCGUGCUUAACACAUGCAAGUCGAGCGGAGCGGCGAACGGGUGAGUAACGCGUGAGUAACUUCCCCCCUCUCUGGGCUAACAGUUGCAAACGGCUGCUAUUACCGGUUAGUGGGGGUUGACUCGCGUCCUAUCAGCUUGUUGGUGGGUUAGUGGCCUACCAAGGCGACGACGGGUAGCCGGCCUGAGAGGGCGACCGGCCACAUUGGGCUGAGAUACGGCCCAAACUCCUACGGGGGGAAGCAGUGGGGAAUAUUGCACAAUGGGGGAAAACAUGAUGCAGCAACGCCGCGUGCGGGAUGACGGCCUUCGGGUGGUAAACCGCUUUCAGCCAUGACGCGGUAGUGGAAGAAGAAGCACCGGCUAACUACGUGCCAGCAGCCGCGGUAAUUC
rnacentral:rRNA from 1 species